rnacentral:rRNA from 1 species
UACGGAGGGGGCGAGCGUUGUCCGAAGUUACUGGGCGUAAAGCGCGCGUAGGCGGGUUGGUAAGUCCGCUGUGAAAGCCCGGAGCUUAACUCCGGAGGGUCGGUGGAUACUGCCAGUCUUGAAGGUGCUAGGGGGAGAUGGAAUUACCGGUGUAGCGGUGAAAUGCGUAGAUAUCGGUAGGAACACCAGUGGCGAAGGCGGUCUCCUGGGGCAUUCUUGACGCUGAGGCGCGAAAGCGUGGGGAGCGAACAGG